UACGAGGGGGGCGAGCGUUGUUCGGAAUUAUUGGGCGUAAAGGGUGCGUAGGCGGUUUGGUAAGUCUUGUGUGAAAUCUACAGGCUCAACUUGUAGUCUGCACGAGAAACUGCCGGGCUUGAGUAUGGGAGAGGUGAGUGGAAUUCCGGGUGUAGCGGUGGAAUGCGUAGAGAUCCGGAAGAACACCGGUGGCGAAGGCGGCCUGCUGGGCAGUAGCUGACGCUGAGGCGCGACAGCGUGGGGAGCAAACAGG
rnacentral:rRNA from 1 species